rnacentral:misc_RNA from 1 species
AAUCUUCAACCUACAAGCCUUUGCGGUUUGUAGGCUUGGACUUGGAGGCUUGUCGGCCCUUUGUCGGUCGGCUCCUCUUAAAUGCAUUAGCUUGAUUCCUUGCGGAUCGGCUCUCGGUGUGAUAAUGUCUACGCCGCGACCGUGAAGCGUUUGGCGAGCUUCUAACCGUCUUCGCUUGAAGACAGCUUUAUGAC